AAUAAUUAAUAGACAAAUAAAUAGAGAGAAUAUCACUAUAACAGAAUUAGGGGAUUGAGCUCCUAUACUUGUAAAAGUACCAAGUCAUUGGUACUUGUAAGUUUUUAGCCAUUGAAAUUAAAAGAUUGCGAUCAGGAUGACAGUAGUCCCCUAGUAUUGAGUGGGUAGUUGGUUAAAUAGUAUGACCUAACGGGUAGAAAUGAUCAAAGAAGUAAAUCUAAUGGUGAAAAACUUACAAACACCAACUGCUUGGUGCUUUUACAAGCACCAUAACCGGACUCCAGAAUUAGAUUAUAGGCACACAUUUUUAGGACAUUUAUAUAAGCGUCUCAUUUAUGUCAAAAUUUUUUUUAAAAAUCUUCUAAGACUUAAAUAUAAAGCUCAAUCCAAUCAAACAUAAAAAAUUUCUCUACUCAACCAACCACACCCAGUCCAAUCGGCCCGCCAUUCGGCCUGAUUACCAUAAAAAAAAAAAUGAUCACCAUCUUUCCUUAUCCUCCUUUACCUUCGUAACCGACUAGGUAGGGUUCCGGUAGCUAGAGUUCAGCCGCAAGGAUCUCAUAGGGACCAUAGAGGGCUACGAUCGUCACAUAUCCCUCCACCACAGGUCGCUGAAGAAGUGAGUGCCAAAUAUCAAGGCGACCCUAUCUAUAGCGACCCCACAUAUAGCAAUAUUUUUAAAAAGUGUUGCUAAUUUAGCCAGCAGUAUUUUUUUUAAUCUGUACCGAUAUUUAAAAGUGUAACUAUAUACUAUUUUUGUUGUAGUGUUAUAUGGGCAAUGAUAAAUUUUUAAAGUACAUAUUAUUAUUCUAGUAUUG
rnacentral:lncRNA from 1 species